CAAAAUUAGGUUAAAGCUAAUACACAGACGUGAAUUUUGCAAUAUAUUAAAUAUACAAAAGCAAUCUACAAACUUUCUUUAAUUGCAGGCUGAGCUGGAUGCUGAAUCGAAAGAGUGAGCCGUAACACUUAAGGUUUGUGCUGAGUUUCAUCAUAUCAGAGAAAGUGGCACACACCAGCAAGAUUUCACAGAUGUUGCAUGACAUUCUAAAUGUUUGAUCUUCAGGUGAGUGCAAAUUCAUGAACACUAACUACCUCCAUCACUGUCUUCACUGUAUAUAAAAUAAAGUUGGCCUGCUUGUUUAACAUGUUUAUUUUUAUUUUUUGUUUACAUGAUGUCAACCUGAAACGAGCCCUUCAUGCUCUCCCAGUGUACAUGUGUGAGGAGAACUGUUCUUCGGGAGAUGAAAUGAGGAAUUGGGCGAGCCAGACAUCACUGACACAAACACCUCUCCUGCUGAUUUUGUUAUCAUGGACAACGAAACCACUACAAGUCCUGCAAGCACUGCAGUUGUGAUGAGAUGUUCUUCCAGUGUUUGAAAUUCAUAAAUAGUUCAUGCGGUUUAAAAAAAGCUGAAUAAAAAAUCCUCAGUUGUA